AGCGAACGUUAGCGGCGCGCCUAACACAUGCAAGUCGCACGAGAAAGGGCUUCGGCCCCGGUAAAGUGGCGCACGGGUGAGUAACACGUGGGUAAUCUUCCUCCGAGCGGGGGAUAACAUUCCGAAAGGAGUGCUAAUACCGCAUAAGACCACGGAGUCGAAAGACACUGAGGUAAAAGCUGGCCUCUUCACGAAAGCUAGCACUUGGGA
rnacentral:rRNA from 1 species